GCCUACGGGGGGCAGCAGUAGGGAAUCUUCCACAAUGGGCGAAAGCCUGAUGGAGCAACGCCGCGUGGGUGGAGAAGGUCUUCGGAUCGUAAAACCCUGUUGUUAGAGAAGAAAGUGCGUGAGAGUAACUGUUCACGUUUCGACGGUAUCUAACCAGAAAGCCACGGCUAACUACGUGCCAGCAGCCGCGGUAAUACGUAGGUGGCAAGCGUUAUCCGGAUUUAUUGGGCGUAAAGGGAACGCAGGCGGUCUUUUAAGUCUGAUGUGAAAGCCUUCGGCUUAAGCGGAGUAGUGCAUUGGAAACU
rnacentral:rRNA from 1 species